GACGAAGGAUGCAAGCGUUAUCCGGAUUCAUUGGGUUUAAAGGGUGCGCAGGUGGCCUUAUAAGUCAGUGGUGAAAUCUCUGGGCUUAACCCAGAAAUUGCCAUUGAUACUGUAGGGCUUGAGUAUAGAUGCCGUUGGCGGAAUAUGACAUGUAGUGGUGAAAUACAUAGAGAUGUCAUAGAACACCGAUUGCGAAGGCAGCUAACGAAACUAUAACUGACACUGAGGCUCGAAAGUGUGGGGAUCAAACAGG
rnacentral:rRNA from 1 species